ACUGGGUCCAGCGACGGAUUCGUUCCGACCAGUUCCAGUUUAGAAACUGGAGCAGGUCUGGGGGCAGACUGGAUCCAAUUUAAACUGGACUGGGUUCAGUGUGACGCCUCAGCUCCUCGUGAUCAGGAUGAGACCCGCGGGGACACCCCACUUGCUCCAGUGCACCUGCAGACAACAUCUUGGGAAAACUGGUAGAAACCUUAAAAGAUGGAUUCCUACUGUGCCUUCUCAGCAGCUUUCUUCUGCUUCAUUUCCCAAACAAUUCUGCAGAAUUGGUAUGUAGGCAAUAAAGUCAAUUGGUC